rnacentral:lncRNA from 10 species
CUCCACACUUUCCCGCAAGCUGAGGGAGCCGGCUCCCGCCUUGGCCAGCCCGGAAAGGGGCUCCCACGGUGCAGCGGUGGGCUGAAGGGCUCCUCAAGCACGGCCAGAGUGGGCGCCAAGGCCGAGGAGGCCCCGAGAGCGAGCGAGGGCUGCCAGUAUGCUGUCACCUCUCAUUAUUAUUUGCCGAUGGGAGUGGAGAAGGAGACUUGGUGAUAACAGGACUGAAAACCUUGUGUAGCCUACAGUCCAUAUGCUUCAGUCUAUUGUGUCUUGAUCUAAGAAGAGAUGCAGAACAGAUGCUAAGAAGACUUAGACGCAAUGAGCCCCAGAAACAGUAAGUACCUAUAAUACUCAGAUUUUGGUUUCUAAUGUCAUUCUCCAAAAAUAGGAAGAAGUUCUUUUUAGAGAAUCAUUGUAGGACUGGUGCAGUAAGUAUACAAGAUAAGCCUGGAACAUUUUGUCAUUCAGAAAGUAAAAAAUUGCUCAAAAACAAAACAACAACAAAAAUAAGCGAUUAUGCCAAAUGGUCCUGGGGGCCAACUGAAAGUGCUCCCAAUGGCUAAAGCUGAAAUAAUUUGAAAAAUAAGAUAAAUAGGCUAGUAUUGGAUUAUAAUCCAAAAUAUAAAAUAAAUAUCCACGAGUUUAUAGUUAUAAAUGCUGCAGAAUAGACAAAUCUCCUAUGCAGAAAAUUUCUAAAUAAUGUAUCUGGGUAUCUCGCCUUUAAGGAGGUAGAAUAUAACUCCACACUCCUUAAGUGUAAGCUGAGCAUAGUGACCUCCUUCCAAAGAGUACAAUAUGAAAAGUGAGAGUGGUAGGAGAAGAGUAACUUUACAGUGGAGAAACCUAACAAACAUUAACUCAAGUAAGUAGAUCUAGGUUCACAUCAACAUAAAAACACUUGAUAUGAUGAACAUGGCAAUUUAUUUUGUGGUCUUUCUUCCAAAAACUGAUGACACCAGUCUAAUAAUGAGAAAAACAUUGAACAAAUUGCAAUUGAGGUGCAAAAUUUCUUGCUGGUAUUCCUCAAAACUGUCAUAGUUACUAAAAACAAAGAAAUUCAGAGAAAAUGUCACGGUGACGUAGAGCCUAAGGAGACAUGACCACUAAAUCCAAUGUCAUGAUUGAGUGAAAUUCUGAAGCAGAAAGGAAUUGGAUAAGAACUAAGAAAAUCUGAAUAAAGUACAAUCAUUUCUUAAUAAUGUCUUUAUAUUGUUUAAUGGGUUGUGACAAAUUUAUCAUACUAAUGUAAGAUGUUAAUAAUAGUGAGAGU